GUACGUGCUCCGGGGUCGGUGAAAUUCCGAGCCGGCGGUGACAGCCCGCGACCCGGCCUCCCUCGGGAGGUCGGUUGAUCUGGUGGAACUCCAGGGCCGACGGUCAAAGUCCGGAUGGGAGGAAGCACGUGC
rnacentral:ncRNA from 2 species